CAUCCCCAGCAACGUAAACCUCCAGAAGGAAAGGCAAGUUUGGUGUCUUUCAUCCUAGAAGGUCACGGAGAUACCAUUACGUAAAAUGUGCCAUGUGGUGUAGAGGUUGGGUGAGAAAGGGACGUAUUGCUUCAUUAUCAAGCAGGUACAAUAGCCGCAAGGCUUAAGAGGUUAGGGUGAGAAAAAAAUUGUAUAAAAGGAGAGAGAAAAGGUUAAAGAAAUCAGUCGAGUGGGCAUCUCCGACACGUCAACAACUGCUGCAGCUCACUUUUUGUCACCAUCUUCUUCGUCGUUUAAUUCAUUUCGCAAUCAUAGUUAAUUAUGGUGUUGUUCUGCUGUCCGGUGUUGUAUCGUUGAUUUCUGGGUCGACCACGAGUGUACCGAUGUCUCCUGGAUACGGUGGCCCCGAGUUAUUUUUCCAAAGCACCUGAGUACUGCCCCAAGUACUACACCAUUAAAGCUCCAGACUACUGCACCGAGGCUCCAGUUUAUUACACCACUAAAGCAAUCGAAUACUACAACGAAAUGCCAAAUUACUACACUGAAAUCUAAGAAUGAGUACUGCACCACAACCUACGCUGCCCCAGUUCACUACACCGCCCUGAGCUACACAACCACAUCUGAGUCAGCCAAGUUUUACUGCACAGCGGCUGCUUCUUAGUACUACAUUGAACCGGAAUGCUACACUGAUGCUCCAGUUUACUACACCACAACCUACGUUACAACUAGAUGCUACACCGAAGCCUUCAAGUACUGCUCCGGCAUGGCCGAAUAUUACACAACCACGUUUGCUGCCCCAGUCUAUUACACCGAGGAACCCGAGUAUUACUCUGCUCCAAGCAACUAUCGUACAGAGGCUCCUGUUGACUACACAAUCCAUGCCCCGUGGUUUUACACCACAACCUACGCUGCCCCCAUCUACACCACCAAGGCCCACACAACCAAGGCACCCGAGCUACUACUUAGGCUGCUCCGACCUUCUGCACCGAAGCUGCGAAGUAUUCCACUGCCCCAAGUUACUACACCACCAAGGCACCUGAAUGUUACAUCACAACCUACGCUUCUCCAGUUUACUACAUAAUGGUGAAGCCAGAAAUGGAAACAGUUAACUAUCCGUGCUGUUGUUUGGUGUAUCGUUGAUGGUCGAGUCGUCCACUGGUGUCCCGAUGUCCCCUGGGUGUGGCAGAUACCCAACCGCAACGCUACUGCCUUACAUGUACUACACAGCAAACAUACGCAAACAGUUCCUACACCUAUAAGGCCGUAUACUACACAAGGGCGUAUGCUACACCAGUUUACUUCACCGAAGAAUUCAAGUAUUACUCUUCUCCGAGCAAAUACCAAACAGAGGCUCAGACUGUUUACUACACUACCAUCGCCCUCGAGGGUUACACUACAACCUACGCUGCCCCCAACUACUACACUGUAGCACAACCAAUUCGCAAUUGUUUAUUUUGACGUCGUGCUGCUGUUGGUUCUAUCGUUGCUAACGUGUUGACCACUGUACCGAACUCCACCGACUUAAGGAAGAGAAAAAAUCGGAUAAAAUAAGAGAAAAGGCGAUUUAUCAAUUGAAUGAGCAUCUCCUACCCGGCAGCAAUUGCAUUCUUCCAAUACUCAAUCAAAGGAGUACUACACCACCAAGGCAGCGGAGUACUACACCACCAAGGCAGCGGAGUACUACACCACCAAGGCAGCGGAGUACUACACCACCAAGGCAGCGGAGUACUACACCACCAAGGCAGCGGAGUACUACACCACCAAGGCAGCGGAGUACUACACCACCAAGGCAGCGGAGUACUACACCACCACCACCGUAUGCUGCUCCAGCCUUUUAGUCCGAGGUUCCCAAGUACUACUCCGUUCCCAGCUACUUCAACGAGGCUCCAGCUUAUUACGCCACAACGCGGUCAAAAACUACAACGAAGCGUCCAAGUACUACUCUGCCCCGAAUUACUUCACGCGGCUGCUCCUUCGUACUACGUUGGACCAAAAUACUAUACUGAGGCUCCAGUUUACUACACUACAACUUACGCUGCACCUUGCUACAUCUAGCUAAUACACCAAGGCACCCAAGUACUACAUCGACGAGUCCGCAUGUUGCACUACAACCCACGCUGCCCUCAGCUACCAUACCGAGGCUCCGCUCCCAUACCGAUGGUUCCAAGUACUACACAACCAAGGCACCCCAGUUACUACUUAGGCUGCUCCGACCUACUGCACCGAAGUUGCGAAGUAUUCCACUGCCCCGAGUUACUACACCACCAAGGCACCGGAAUGCUACAUCAUUACCUUCGCUUCUCCAGUUUACUACAGGGAGAUUUUGCAUACCAGAGCCGAAAUUUCCAAUUGAUUUAUUUGUGUUUAGAUUUGUUGGUCAUAUCUCAAUAGUUACUAGUGAAUCGUGGGAAUCGUUGUUGAUCUUAAAUGAGAAAAUAAAUUUUUUAAUGGUAA